GAUGAACGCUAGCGGCAGGCCUAACACAUGCAAGUCGAGGGGCAUCAUGGCGUAGCAAUACGCUGAUGGCGACCGGCGCACGGGUGCGUAACGCGUAUGGAACCUACCCACCGCAGGGGGAGUAACCCGCCGAAAGGCGGACUAAUACCCCAUGGUUCCCCGACCCCUGCCUGGGGUUGGGGGUAAAGCCUACGGGCGGCGGUGGAUGGCCCUGCGUGCCAUUAGCUGGCUGGUGGGGUAACGGCCCACCAGGGCGACGAUGGCUAGGGGUCGUGAGAGGACGAUCCCCCCACACUGGUACUGAGACACGGACCAGACUCCUACGGGAGGCAGCAGUGAGGAAUAUUGGUCAAUGGGCGGAAGCCUGAACCAGCCAUGCCGCGUGCAGGAUGACGGCCCUACGGGUUGUAAACUGCUUUUCCAGGGAGAGAAACUUACGCACGUGUUGCGUGACUGACGGUACCCUGGGAAUAAGCAUCGGCUAACUCCGUG
rnacentral:rRNA from 1 species